rnacentral:rRNA from 1 species
UACGUAGGGGGCAAGCGUUAUCCGGAAUCAUUGGGCGUAAAGCGCGUGUAGGCGGUUCCGUAAGUCCGCUCUGAAAGCCCAGGGCUCAACCCUGGGAGGCGGGUGGAUACUACGGAACUGGAGUACGGAAGAGGAGAUUGGAAUUCCUGGUGUAGCGGUGAAAUGCGCAGAUAUCAGGAGGAACACCAACAGCGAAGGCAGAUCUCUGGGACGUUACUGACGCUGAGACGCGAAAGCGUGGGAGCAAACAGG